UUUGACCCAAACAAAAUAGAGUUAGGGUUAGGGUUUGUGUAUAAACACUCUAAGAAGUGGCAAUCCCCCUCGCGUCUUUACAAUUUGCAGUUGUCUAUUCUAGACCUUGAAGAAUCAAAAAGGGUUUUUCACUCGCGCCAUCUGUUACAAUGAGAGCCAAGUGGAAGAAGAAGCGAAUGAGGAGGUUGAAGAGAAAACGCCGAAAAAUGAGGCAAAGAUCCAAGUAGUUGCAGUUUUAGCUCAACCUUACAAACCCUUAAUUAAUCCUCGCUGUUAUUUCCUUUCUGAACCAUGGAUUAUAUGUUUUUAAUCACUUGAUGUGCGGAAAUUAGUGGGUUUUUCAUUAGUAUUGGGAAUGCUACUUUUUUUAAAAACCCUGAUGUCUCUUGUCCUGCUUUGAUUCUAAAAUUCUAUUCCUAAGUCGCCAAUUGUUGCAAA